rnacentral:rRNA from 1 species
UACGUAGGGGGCUAGCGUUGUCCAGAAUCAUUGGGCGUAAAGCGCGCGUAGGCGGCCCGGUAAGUCCGCUGUAAAAGUCAAAGGCUCAACCUUUGAAUGUCAGUGGAUACUGCCGGGCUAGAGUCCGGAAGAGGCGAGUGGAACUCCUGGUGUAGCGGUGGAAUGCGCAGAUAUCAGGAAGAACACCGACGGCGAAGGCAGCUCGCUGGGACGGUACUGACGCUGAGGCGCGAAAGCGUGGGGAGCGAACAGG